UAUGCCUACGGGACGCAGCAGUGGGGAAUAUUGGGCAGUGGGCGCAAGCCUGACCCAGCAACGCCGCGUGAAGGAAGAAGGCUUUCGGGUUGUAAACUUCUUUUAAGAGGGAAGAGAAGAAGACGGUACCUCUUGAAUAAGCCACGGCUCACUACGUGCCAGCAGCCGCGGUAAUACGUAGGUGGCAAGCGUUGUCCGGAUUUACUGGGUGUAAAGGGCGUGCAGCCGGGCUGACAAGUCAGAUGUGAAAUCCCGCGGCUCAACCGCGGCACUGCAUUUGGAACUGUCAGUCUUGUGUACCGGAG
rnacentral:rRNA from 1 species